rnacentral:rRNA from 1 species
UACGAAGGGCGCUAGCGUUUUUCGGAAUCACUGGGCGUAAAGCGCGCGUAGGCGGUGACACAAGUCAGGGGUGAAAUCCUGGGGCUCAACCUCAGAAUUGCCUUUGAAACUAGGUCGCUGGAGGGUCGGAGGGGAUAGCGGAAUUCCUAAUGUAGAGGUGAAAUUCGUAGAUAUUAGGAGGAACACCGGUGGCGGAGGCGGCUAUCUGGACGGCAACUGACGCUGAGGCGCGAAGGCGUGGGGAUCAAACAGG